rnacentral:lncRNA from 1 species
ACAUAACAACACAUCUCAUUAGUUUUAUUAUAUUGUUAGUCCAUUUGCUAACAUCACAUAGAUAUAACUUAAUAUCGCUCAUCUUUAUUUAAAUAAUCAAGCUGCAACUGCGUCGAUGGGAACUUCCGCUACUAAUGAUGGAACAUUUUCAUUGGUCAUCAUGUUACCACAUCCUCCACCGCACCCACCGCACCCACCGCAUCCAGUGGAACCGCCAGUGCAGGAGCCGCCACCUGUGGUAACAUUUUCAUUGGUCAUCAUAUUACCACAUCUUCCACCGCCUCCUCCGCACCCACUGCCACCGCCACAUCCUCCACAUCCACCACAACCACCACAAUGACCACCUUCUUCUUCCACCAUGUUCCCACUGUUAAGCUCCUUGGACAAGCACCUAGCACCGCCAUUGAUCUUCAUAUGCAUCAUUGUUUCUUCUUCUAGCUUCACAGUUAUUCCAUUAC